GAGGGUAUAGCGCAUGCUUAGCAUGUAUGAGGUCCUGGGUUCAAUCCCCAGUACCUCCA
rnacentral:tRNA from 1 species